UACAGAGGUGGCAAACGUUGUCCGGAUUUAUUGGGUGUAAAGGGCAUGUAGGUGGUCUUGUAAGUCAAAGGUGAAAUGGCCCGGCUCAACCGAGUCAUUGCCUUUGAAACUGCCGGACUCGAGUACGGAAGAGGAGAGCGGAAUUCCCAGUGUAGCGGUGAAAUGCGUAGAUAUUGGGAGGAACACCGGUGGCGAAGGCGGCUCUCUGGUCCGAAACUGACACUGAGAUGCGAAAGCCAGGGGAGCAAACGGG
rnacentral:rRNA from 1 species